CCCGACCGCGGGCCUCUGCUCCAGAGCAGUCCAGAACGUUUUUUAGAGGCACCCGCGGUCCGAGCCGCGGCCGCGGGCCAUGACCGCGGCCUCCCCUGCUUCCAGCCGCGUUUUCAACCGCGGUUCAUGCCGUGACCGCGGGGAAGAGGCGGGGAUCCGCCUUUUGGUGGGCCCAGACGUGAUUUUUAGCCCAAAACUCCAUUUUUCCCCUCUUUUCUCAUAUCUAACAACACACACACCCACUUCAUCUUCCCCAACACUCCAAUUCCAAACCCUAGCCUUCAUCUCUACCAUUUUUCUCUCUUUCACACACAAAAACAACACCAAAAUCAAAUAAAGAAGGGGAAGACUUGGAAAGGAGCUCAUCA
rnacentral:lncRNA from 1 species